GGUGGUCUAGUGGUUAGAGCAUCCACCUUGAAUGUGGGAGGUCACAGGUUCAAACCUGCUCUGAUAUCA